rnacentral:rRNA from 1 species
UACGUAGGGUGCAAGCGUUGUCCGGAAUUAUUGGGCGUAAAGAGCUCGUAGGCGGUCCGUCACGUCGCUGUGAAAACCUGGGGCUCAACCCCGGGCCUGCAGCCGAUACGGGCGGACUAGAAUUCGGUAGGGGAGACUGGAAUUCCUGGUGUAGCGGUGAAAUGCGCAGAUAUCAGGAGGAACACCGGUGGCGAAGGCGGGUCUCUGGGCCGAUAUUGACGCUGAGGAGCGAAAGCGUGGGGAGCGAACAGG